rnacentral:rRNA from 1 species
CUUGGUCAUUUAGAGGAAGUAAAGAGUCGUAACAAGCUCUCCCCUCGGUGAACCUGCGGAGGGAUCAUUA